UACGAAGGGGGCGAGCGUUGUUCGGAUUUACUGGGCGUAAAGGGCGCGCAGGCGGCGGACCAAGUCAGGCGUGAAAGCCCCGGGCUUAACCUGGGAGGUGCGUCUGGGACUGGUACGCUAGAGUUCGGGAGAGGAGAGUGGAAUUCCCAGUGUAGAGGUGAAAUUCGUAGAUAUUGGGAAGAAGCACCGGUGGCGAAGGCGGCUCUCUGGACCGAGACUGACGCGUGAGG
rnacentral:rRNA from 1 species